rnacentral:rRNA from 1 species
CCCGGCGACCGGCGCACGGGUGAGUAACACGUAUGCAACCUGGCCGUGACAGAUGGAUAACCGGGAGAAAUCCCGCCUAAUACAACAUAAUGCCGGGAGGGGACAUCCCCUGCCGGUCAAAGGGGGCGACCCCGGUCACGGAUGGGCAUGCGGCGCAUUAGGUAGUUGGUGGGGCAACGGCCCACCAAGCCGACGAUGCGUAGGGGUUCUGAGAGGAAGGUCCCCCACAUUGGAACUGAGACACGGUCCAAACUCCUACGGGAGGCAGCAG